GAUGAACGCUGGCGGCGUGCCUAAUACAUGCAAGUCGAGCGAACAGACGCGGAGCUUGCUCCUCUGACGUUAGCGGCGGACGGGUGAGUAACACGUGGAUAACCUACCUAUAAGACUGGGAUAACUUCGGGAAACCGGAGCUAAUACCGGAUAAUAUAUUGAACCGCAUGGUUCAAUAGUGAAAGACGGUUUUGCUGUCACUUAUAGAUGGAUCCGCGCCGCAUUAGCUAGUUGGUAAGGUAACGGCUUACCAAGGCAACGAUGCGUAGCCGACCUGAGAGGGUGAUCGGCCACACUGGAACUGAGACACGGUCCAGACUCCUACGGGAGGCAGCAGUAGGGAAUCUUCCGCAAUGGGCGAAAGCCGGACGGAGCAACGCCGCGUGAGUGAUGAAGGUCUUCGGAUCGUAAAACUCUGUUAUUAGGGAAGAACAAAUGUGUAAGUAACUAUGCACGUCUUGACGGUACCUAAUCAGAAAGCCACGGCUAACUACGUG
rnacentral:rRNA from 1 species